rnacentral:rRNA from 1 species
CAGUCGCCGCGGGAAUACAGAGGGUGCGAGCGUUAAUCGGAUUUACUGGGCGUAAAGCGUGCGUAGGCGGCUUCUUAAGUCGGAUGUGAAAUCCCUGAGCUUAACUUAGGAAUUGCAUUCGAUACUGGGAAGCUAGAGUAUGGGAGAGGAUGGUAGAAUUCCAGGUGUAGCGGUGAAAUGCGUAGAGAUCUGGAGGAAUACCGAUGGCGAAGGCAGCCAUCUGGCCUAAUACUGACGCUGAGGUACGAAAGCAUGGGGAGCAAACAGGAUUAGAUACCCCAGUAGUCCCUGUCUCUUAUAA